GACGAACGCUGGCGGCGUGCUUAACACAUGCAAGUCGAACGGAAAGGCCCUGCUUUUGUGGGGUGCUCGAGUGGCGAACGGGUGAGUAACACGUGAGUAACCUGCCCUUGACUUUGGGAUAACUUCAGGAAACUGGGGCUAAUACCGGAUAGGAGCUCCUGCUGCAUGGUGGGGGUUGGAAAGGUUCGGCGGCUGGGGAUGGACUCGCGGCUUAGCAGCUUGUUGGUGGGGUAGUGGCUUACCAAGGCUUUGACGGGUAGCCGGCCUGAGAGGGUGACCGGCCACAUUGGGACUGAGGUACGGCCCAGACUCCUACGGGAGGAAGCAGUGGGGAUUAGUGCACAAUGGGCGGAAGCCUGAUGCAGCAACGCCGCGUGCGGGAUGACGGCCGUCGGGUUGUAAACCGCUUUCGCCUGUGACGAAGCGUGAGUGACGGUAAUGGGUAAAGAAGCACCGGCUAACUACGUG
rnacentral:rRNA from 1 species